rnacentral:rRNA from 1 species
UACGGAGGGAGCUAGCGUUGUUCGGAAUUACUGGGCGUAAAGCGCACGUAGGCGGCUUUGUAAGUUAGAGGUGAAAGCCCGGAGCUCAACUCCGGAAUUGCCUUUAAGACUGCAUCGCUUGAAUCCAGGAGAGGUGAGUGGAAUUCCGAGUGUAGAGGUGAAAUUCGUAGAUAUUCGGAGGAACACCAGUGGCGAAGGCGGCUUACUGGACCGGUUCUGACGCUGAGGCGCGAAAGCGUGGGGAGCAAACGGG